rnacentral:snRNA from 1 species
CCCAAAAGACUCCCAACGGA